CAUGGUGACUAUUUGUCCCGGCUCUGUGAAGCAUCUGGGACUAGACGAGAUCUCGGGUGACCUACUGCUCCUUUCCUGGCAACGCCACGAUUACACAGCGGACACAUUAUUUAUCCGGCUCUCCUUUUGUCGUCGAUGCUUUUCGUUCGUGCUUUCUCACCCGUUAUGCUUCCCAGGCUUCUUCGCAGACUUUUGCCCCAUCGGUUUCAUCGAUCACGCGUUGCUCCUCAUCUCGCUGGGAACAUUCUUUUUUCUCCAUCACUCGUCGAUCAGCCGUGAUCCAGGUGAUCGGAAGACUCAAAAGUAUUAGGAUAGGCAACGCCAUCCGAAGCGUACACUUGAUUACGUUCGAACCUACUUUUGGCAGUGUCACAGAUCUUUUCGACGCUGUCAUAAAUAUCGUGAACCUGCCUAACCGUGCAACCACCGUUAUGAAGAAUCCUCAGAUCUGAAACGAUCAAGGUAUCCUAGUAAUGUCGGAUACGAUGAAAGCAUUGUCGUUUCUUUAUGAAAUACGUAACAUAUGUGGUUGUUAGGUUUCGUAUAAUUAUUUCUGUUCCUAUUUACCAGCGUUAAGCUGUCACAGACAGUUCAGCUGAGCCGCGUUCUCAUAGGUCAAACCGUUAUUCGCGCAGACAGGGUUGGAACGAUGAGCUUGAUAGCUAUAACAGCGAUCCAUAACGUUGCAAGCACCCUUUGAAGCUACUGUCACAUCUAGAAUAAUAUUAUAUCAAUUUUAACGUUUUACUGCUUCGGAUCAGAUCUGAACGAAGCCGUUACAGUCUUAAAAUAAUUGGCACAUUAAUGAAUUGUGCAGUUGAAUGGAUGUUUUGCUGAAUUACAUCUGCAGUAACUUUUCGGUUUCCUGCGUUUGAACUCGGUCCACAUUUUCCAAAUUUAAACUCAUCGACCGACUCGAACGCUGACUAACUAUAAAUUGAAUAGUUGAAGAAAGUGUGAUAAAUUUGUCUCAGAAUCCGCUAUCAUUUAUGUGCUCCCUGUAAUAAGUAAACUUUGCGUUGACUUUUUUGUCAGAUUCGUGUAAGAAUAUCAGAAAACUAUUCUUUCAUAGUGACCAAUAACGAGGUCUUAUUAGAUAUUUUCGUUAUAAAUCGUCUUAAGAUCGACAACAAGCUAACGUUUUACAAUUUCAGUUCUACCGCAAACCUGGUUGAAACCUAACGAGAACAAGCUCAAGCUAAAUUCUAAUAUGGCAUUAGAUCCACGGUGGACCUGGUCAACGAAACUCAGAGGGACAGUAGUCUCUGGAAACGUUGCUCAUGUUCGCGGAAUUCUACUAACUCGAAGAUAAGGGAUUUUUAGUUUGCAUUGUUAGGAGAGUCGGCGACCAGACGAGAAAAUGUAACAAUACCCGCGGACAUUAGCGUGUAACAACGAGCCAGAGUUUGCAAGCUGGAAUUUUGGUCUCGCGAACCUCUCUCAGUCCGACUGGUCAACUAAAUUUCUCCAGCCAGCCAACUUUUGCUAACUUUAAUCCGUAUUAACGGCACGGUUCGUGUACGUGUGCCCAUCCGAUCCACAGAUCGGCCGAUAAAACAGAUUUAUCUUGCAGUAACCAUCCACCGGUAAACAAUAUCCAGAAUGCAUGGACAUCACUGAAAAGGAAUUUUCGUUCAGUAAAGUACGAAUG